rnacentral:rRNA from 1 species
AAUACUGAAAGUGGCUUGUCAAAGCCUGAUCUCAUCAGAAGCUAAGUAGGGCUGGGCCUGGUCAGUGCUUGGAUGGGAGAACACUGGGAAUACCAGGUUUAUUU